AUAUAUCUAUUCUCUCAGGAAAUAAUAAAAGUUACAAUUAUUAUACUAUACGCUAUACUUUAAUGGUCUUUAAUAUACCAUAUCAUACCAUACUAUACUAUACUAUACUACACUCCUUACCAAUUAAUAUUACAUUUUAAUUCUAUAAUUAAGUAUACAUUAGUUAAUAAUAUUAGGCCGUGGGCUGUUGUGCAAAAAAGUGCCUAGAAAAGCAAUUUCGUGGCACCCUCCUGGGAAAUAGAUUUUCUGUGGUUCAAUUCAUAGAACCAUAGAUGCUUAAUUACCACAAAAAGUUCCCAAGCAAAAAACCUGCCCAA